rnacentral:rRNA from 1 species
GUGAGUUUGGUGUGGGGUGGGGGGGUAAUCGGGAGGUGGUGAGCGUUGGUUUGAUGUACGGGGGGGAAGGGGGUGGAAGGCGGAUUAUUAAGGCAGAUGGUAAAUCUCGGGGCUCAACCCCGAAAUUGCGUUUGGAACUGUUAGUCUAGAGUGAUGGAGGGGAGAGUGGAAUUUCGCAUGUAGGGGUAAAAUCCGUAGAGAUGCGGAGGAACACCAGAGCCGAAGGGGGCGUUCUGGGCAUCAACUGACGCUGAGGCGCGAAAGCGUGGGGAGCAAACAGGAUUAGAUACCCUGGUAGUC